UACGUAGGGGGCUAGCGUUGUCCGGAAUCAUUGGGCGUAAAGCGCGCGUAGGCGGCCCGGUAAGUCCGUUGUGAAAGUCAAAGGCUCAACCUUUGAAAGCCGAUGGAUACUGCCGGGCUGGAGUCCGGAAGAGGCGAGUGGAAUUCCCGGUGUAGCGGUGAAAUGCGCAGAUAUCGGGAAGAACACCCGUGGCGAAGGCGGCUCUCUGGGACGGUACUGACGCUGAGACGCGAAAGCGUGGGGAGCGAACAGG
rnacentral:rRNA from 1 species